rnacentral:misc_RNA from 1 species
GAUGAAGAACGUAGCGAAAUGCGAUAAGUAAUGUGAAUUGCAGAAUUCAGUGAAUCAUCGAAUCUUUGAACGCACCUUGCGCUCUUUGGUAUUCCGAAGAGCAUGCCUGUUUGAGUGUCAUGAAAAUAUCAACCUUGACUUGGGUUUUGUGCUCUAGUCUCGGCUUGGAAUUGGGUGCUUGCCGCUUUUACGAGCGGCUCACCUUAAAUGUAUUAGCUGGAUCUGUCUUUGAGACUUGGUUUGACUUGGCGUGAUAAGUAUUUCGCUAAGGACAUUCUUCGGAGUGGCCUCGUUUCUAGGACGCUUGUCCGCUUUCCAAUACAAGUUCCACCUCGUGGACAUGACUUUUUAUUAUCUGGCCUCAAAUCAGGUAGGACUACCCGCUGAACUUAAGCAUAUCAAUAAGCGGAGGA